rnacentral:misc_RNA from 1 species
GAAAUGCGAUAAGUAAUGUGAAUUGCAGAAUUCAGUGAAUCAUCGAAUCUUUGAACGCACAUUGCGCCCGCCAGUAUUCUGGCGGGCAUGCCUGUUCGAGCGUCAUUACAACCCUCAGGCCCCCGGGCCUGGCGUUGGGGAUCGGCGGAAGCCCCCCGCGGGCACAACGCCGUCCCCCAAAUACAGUGGCGGUCCCGCCGCAGCUUCCAUUGCGUAGUAGCUAACACCUCGCAACUGGAGAGCGGCGCGGCCACGCCGUAAAACACCCAACUUCUGAAUGUUGACCUCGAAUCAGGUAGGAAUACCCGCUGAACUUAAGC